GCUCGUGUAGCUCAGGGGAUAGAGCACCGCUCUCCUAAAGCGGGUGUCGGACGUUCGAAUCGUCUCACGAGCGCCA
rnacentral:tRNA from 1 species